AUGCUUUUCAACUUUUUUCCAUGUUGUAACAUACUUCCUGUGUUGUGUAAUAAUCUACUGAUAGCCAGUUACAGCUCCAUUUUACUAUGGACAUUGCAUAUGAUGUUCUUUAUUCUCAGCAAAGCAAACAUCUCAUUUGUUUCUCAUACUAUUCUCUACAAAAAACUAGGCGUUGCUGAAGCUGGAGUCAUGAUGGCGUUAGUAACCUUGGUGAUGCUUCUUAUACGGCAAACCAACUUGUUCUUGAUUAUCCUAUGGGUUAUUUAUCCAGAUGUUGCACAUAGGAGUACUGUGGAGCUAAUAAUUAUUUGA
rnacentral:rRNA from 1 species